GGGCGUGGCUAAUGGUGGCGUAAUUAAAUCGCUCUGCUUAAUUGAAGUGAUUCGUUUGUAACCGAGCAGCAGCCAAAAUAUCAGACUGUUUUCCUGUACAUAAACAUAAAGAUGGAGAAAAUGUGAAAAGAGAGGGAGUGAGAGAGAGAGAGAGAGAGAGAGAGAGAGAGAAAGAAAGAAAGAAAGAAAGAAAGAAAGAAAGAAAGAGGACAGCGUAAAGUUCUCAGGAUUAGUUCACUUGUAUUAUUUAUUUUUAUUUCUAUUUCUAACUUCCGGUCCUGGUGCUGCCUCGUCUCCGUCCUCCACACUGAACUGAACUCGAACAGGAUUUAAACGGCAGUAUUCGGUGAGAGAAAAGUGCGGAUGUUGAUCAGAUGAGUCUUGUUGGCGGAUCCCGAGGAGCGGCGCAGCUUCAUGGACAUGCGGCUCUUGCUGGCUCGAGGAGAGAUGGGAGAUGAUGCAUCACCGGCGUCCAGCGGCACACUCGGGUUCUCACACGCCGGGUUCUCCAGGAAGGAACCUGGGAAACACAGCCAUGACAGCGUGAGAGUGAUUCGGCUGCGGUUAUGAGAAUUACAGCACGGCAGUAGGUCACGAUACUGUUAUUUCUAAACUGACCUCUGCACUGAGUUUAUUACAGCGUAGAGGAAAAAUUACCCACUGCUCCUUUAAAUCCCCUCACCCAGGUGUGGGCCGGAAGUGAGUGUGUGUGAGAAUGUGAGUAAGAGAAAGCGAGUGCAUGUGAGUGCGCGUGCAUCUGGGAGAGUUGAGUGUAAGCUUAUGUGGGUGAGAGUGUAUGUGUGCACGUGAGAGACAAGUGUGAGCGAGUGUGUAGAAAACCUGAUGAUAAAUAAAGAUAAAGGAAAAUGUUUAAAGAAAAAAACGUAAUGAGUGGGUGAGGAAAAUAUUAUUAUUAUUAUUAAGUAUGAGGAGCAGCUACUGUACUCACUGCAUGAGUUUUACUUCAGGCUGAAACACACACACAAGCUGGAGUUAAACACUGUGUUGUGAUGAAAGUGAGUCCAUGCGACACACCAGAUGUGGAUUAGAAGAACAGCAGGCAGAGGUGUGUGUGUGUGUGUGGGUGUUGGGGGGAUGAGUUAGUGUAAUGUUACACAUGCAUGAGACGAGCUGAACUGAGCAUUACACACCUCCACGAACAGGUCGUGUGUGAGAAAUGAGGGAAAGAGGUGCAAACAAAACAGACGGCAGGCAAAGUGACUAAAGAAACAGGAGCAGCAUGCGUGUGUGUGUGUGUCGCAGUCUUACCUUUAGACACACAUGAGUGUAUGAUUAUCAUCUAAAGAAGAAACACAACAGAAGAGCAAAAAAAUGGAAGAAAAAUGAAAACAAAAAGCAGAAUAAUGCUCAUUUGGGGUUUAGAUAUGUUCAGGAUGCUGGACCUGUACGAUACACUCAGUGUGUGAGGAUUAAAUACUGAACUUACACGCACGCACCAGAAUUCACGAGUUGGGGGCGGAGUCUGCCUGAACGAGAGGCGUGUCUCAGUGAGACACUAUCAACUGCUCCUGAGUCAGAGCCUGAUAUAAAUCAAUUAAACCAACAGUCUGCGCUGGAUCAAGUGCUAUUCUCCGUGCUGCUGAAUAACCAGGGUGGAAGUGGUGUGUUUAAUUAAUUUAAUUUAAUUAAAGACAUCAUUACAGCUAGAGCUAUUAAUUUAUCAGUGAAAUGCGAGACAUGCUGCAUCACAGGGCGG